CUCCCGUUCAUUAUAAUGGUAAAUGACCACAAACAAGUGCGCACACCAUCUUUGGACCUUGAGUGUGACGCGAUCGGGUGGGGGAGGCGGUCGCGCUGGGGGCGGCGUGACACGGCUCGGGCCCGCCAGUGCCCCAACGGGGCCCUAGUUUUUUCUUUUUCCUCCCCUUUGAACUGGAAAAUGGCCCACUUCCCACUGGCGAAAACUCAUGAAAUUUGGCAGGACGACCGGGCCUGGUGAAAAAUUUGAUAUUCUGAAGUCGCCAAAACAAUAAAAUGCAAAAUGGCUCCAUAGCGCCCCCUAAGGUGAAAAUUCACACUAUUCACUGUCACGACUGUACGCUUUGUCAAAAUGACACAAAAAUUGACACACACAUGUAUCUCAAUAAGAUCUACAAAAAAGUCAGUGCGGCCGUAUCUGUCAAAAUUACGGUUAAAGGGUUAUUUCGCAUUUUUUGCCGAUCUGCACACAUUGGAAUUUCGCUAACUCCUCCGAAGGCUUUCGUUCCACCGGCACCACAUUUGCUCAGGCCAAUCUACACCCCGUGGCCAUUAAAAGUUAUCAAAAUCAUGAUGCUGCACCCCAAGGUUUAGGUUCUAGGGGGCGCCAAAGAUAACCCUAAAAUCCACAUAUUUAAAAGUCUUAUAACUUUUUAUUUUUGUCCUCACUGGCCUCCAAGUUUUCUAGGAUGAUGCAAUGUCCAGCCAUCAACACAUUUGUGAAGGAAUUUUUACUCCCCAAAAGAGCGCCCCCCCAUGGCAGGAGAAAAAAGUCCAUUUUUUCUUGUCCCCUAAGGUGAAAAUACACAUUGUUGAGUGUCACGCCUAUACGCUUUGUCAAAAUGACACAAAAAUUGACACACACAUGUAACUCAAUAAGAUCUACGAAAAAGUCAAUGGGCGCGUAUCUGUCAAAUGUACGGUUAAAGGGUUAUUUCGCAUUUUUUGCCGAUCCGCACACAUUGGAAUUUCGCUAACUCCUCCGAAGGCUUUCGUUCCACCGGCACCACAUUUGCUCAGGCCAAUCUACACCCCAUGGCCAUUAAAAGUUAUCAAAAUCAUGACGCUGCACCCCACGGUUUAGGUUCUAGGGGGCGCCAAAGAUAACCCUAAAAUCCACAUUUUUAAAAGUCUUAUAACUUUUUAUUUUUGUCCUCACUGGCCUCCAAGUUUUCUAGGAUGAUGCAAUGUCCAGCCAUCAACACAUUUGUGAAGGAAUUUUUACUCCCCAAAAGAGCGCCCCCCAUGGCAGGAGAAAAAAGUCCAUUUUUUCUUGUCCCCUAAGGUGAAAAUACACAUUGUUGACUGUCACGCCUGUACGCUUUGUCAAAAUGACACAAAAAUUGACAAUCAUGUGUAUCUCAAUUAGAUCUACGAAAAAGUCAAAGAGCGCGUAUCUGUAUAAUGUACGGUAAAAGGGCUAUUUUGCAUUUUUUGCCGAUUCGCACACAUUGGAAUUUCGCUAACUCCUCCUAAGGCUUUCGUCCCACUGACACCAAAUUUGCUCAGGCCAAUCUACACUCCAUGGCCAUUCAAAGUUGUAAAAAUCAUGACGCUGCACCCCACGGUUUACGUUUUAGGGGGUGCCAAAGAUGACCCAAAUAUACAUUACAGUAGACAAAGUAGUUUUGCCCACUGAGUGGCGCCAAAGGGACUUGUCUGUGGAGUCUGUGAGUCACUAUUGGCCGUUUUUGACUACUUUAGAUUUUACCUUUAUAUUUCCUCUUACAAAAUUUUUACCUUGCCUUGCCUGGUAUCAUUUUUUUCAGCACAACCUCACCUGUGUCAAUUUACAGUUAUUUUACCAUUUUGACAUACUAUAUUUACACAUUGGACCCAAAUUCACACACAAAACAUAAAAUCCGAGUGGAAAAAAGUAACAUUUUUACUGUGAAAACCACAAAUAUGUGUGAUGAACUGUUUUUAAAACUUAAACUUCAAAUAAAAAUUGUAAACUUCAAAACAUAUGCAAAUUUUUAACUAAGAACAUAGUAAUUUACCUCUAUUGACAUCAAAAUGCAGGCAAUGGCCCAGGUGUUCUUUGUAAAAUUAUUUACAAAACACUGUAUAGUCUCACAAAUGUCACUUUUUAUUUAUGCCACUACAAAAAAACAUGAUGUAAAUGAUGCAUGAUGUAAAACAUGAUGUAAAAAACUUGUGUAGAUCCUCCUCUAUGUUAGUCCAUGUGUAAUUUUUCCAUAAUUCUUUGUUUUUUGCAGCAUUUUUGUUAGUGUAACUGCAGAUUGUGCUGACAGUGUCUAUGGCAAAAAAAAAAAAAAAAAACUGAAAAUGCCUCAACAUGAACCCCUGGUGGUCUCUGAAGGUGAAACCUGCUAACUGCUGCAGCUCUGUCAGCUUCAGUCUCCCAUGCAGAGCUCGGAGCGCAUGUGUGGCUCUGCACCCUUAGCAGCGUUGCUAACUCCUCAGUAAGGAAAGCCUGCUUCAUGUCAGAGUCUCUAAACUCCAGAAGAAGUCGAUAAAAGUCACUUUCUUUCUAAAAAAAAGUCGUUAGGGGGUCUGAAAAGUCAUUGAAUCUAACAACAAAGUCGCUAGGUUUGCAACUACGUGUCCCAGACUGCAUCCCUGCUGAGAGUCCCUCCCUCCCUUCUCAUAUUGCAGGAAGAACGUAAGUUCCCGCCCCUUGUCAAUCAGUCACCAUAUAAUUUUGGAUUGGUUGUUGUGGUGAAGUUUUCCACCAAUAGGAGAGAUGUUGUGGUGUGUAUUUUUUUUCCUUUGGCAAGCCUUUUCCGCCUGUAAGACCUGUCGCUAAUGUCUGCAUGCUAUGUUUUCCUGUCUCAUACAGCGCGAUCGAGCGCCGAACGUGAUCAAAAUAAGCAGAAAACAAGUAUCGCGGACAUAAUUUAUCAUAACUCUGGUUUUAUUUGGCCUAUCAACACAAUUUAAAAACUGGUAUAUAGGUUGAGGUCCUCACUUUUGAGAUAAAUUGAAACGGAGAGUCAACGAGGCUCCGUCUUGCAGCUACAUCCGGUUAAAUAUGUCAUGUGACUUGAACGCACACACACACACACACACAGACACACACACACGCACACACACACACUCAGAGUCUGGUUUGUAGCACCUGCAAAAACAUGCUAUUUACAUAUUUGACAAGAAUGCAGAGGCUCCUUUUGCCCCUGAAAAAAAUCAAAUUUCAAACACAACUUGACUGGUCAUUUCUCCAAAAGACAACCAUGAAGCUCCAUCCAAACCUGAAGCAGGCAGUUGGUGCAUGUGUACAGUAACCUGAGGGGAGUGAGGUGACUGCUUCUGGGGAGAACAUGAGCAGUGAAGAUUUACCUUAGAGCUAGAACAGAGACGUGCACAUGAUUAUACAGGGGCAGGGGCUCAAGUUUUUUCCAGUCGUUUAUACAAUUUGGAAAUUAAUGUGAAAUUAAAAAACAAAGUAUUAAUAGAAAGGUAAUGACUGUCCUGUGUAGGUGACAGUGAUAUCCAAUAGGCUAGGCACUCACGAGGCUGGCUGUGGCAAGUGUAAGUGAAAGCAACACGCACUGGCAGGAAGAACAGCAAACGCCGAUGAAGGAAAAGGGUCUUUGCAGUGAUGGGCGUUACCAAAGAGGGCGAUGGCCAGAGGACACAAAUGGGACGGGGAGGCAGCGCGUUGGGGGGGGGACGCGACACAGCUCGGGCCCGCCAGUGCCCCAACGGGGUCCUAGUUAUUUUUCCUCCGCUUUAAACUGGAAAAUGGCCCAUUUCCCACUGGCGAAAACUCAGGAAAUUUGGCAGGACGACCGGGCCUGGUGAAAAAUUCGAUAUUCUGAAGUCGCCCAAACAAUAAAAUGCAAAAUGGCUCCAUAGCGCCCCCUAAGGUGAAAAUUCACAUGACGCCUGUAUGCUUUGUCAUAUUGACACAAAAAUUGACACACACAUGUAUCUCAAUAAGAUCUACAAAAAAGUCAGUGUGGGCGUAUCUGUCAAAUGUACGGUUAAAGGGCUAUUUUGCAUUUUUUGCCGAUUCGCACACAUUGGAAUUUCGCUAACUCCUCCGAAGGCUUUCGUUCGACCGGCACCACAUUUGCGCAGGCCAAUCUACCCCCCAUGGCCAUUAAAAGUUGUACAAAUCAUGACGCUGCACCCCACGGUUUACGUUCUAGGGGGCGCCAAAGAUAACCCAAAAAUCCACAUUCUUAAAAGUCUUAUAACUUUUGUCUUUUGUCCUCACUGGCCUCCAAGUUUUCUAGGAUGAAGCAAUGUCCAGCCAUCAACACAUUUGUGAAGGAAUUUUUACUCCCCAAAAGAGCGCCCCCCAAUGGCAGGAGAAAAAGGUCCAUUUUUUCUUGUCUCCUAAGGUGAAAAUACACAUUGUCGAGUGUCACGCCUGUAUGCUUUGUCAUAUUGACACAAAAUUUGACAAUCACGUGUAUCUUAAUAAGAUCUACGAAAAAGUCAAAGGGCAUGUAUCUGUCAAAUGUACGGUUAAAGGGCUAUUUUGCAUUUUUUGCCGAUUCGCACACAUUGGAAUUUCGCUAACUCCUCCGAAGGCUAUCUUUCCACCGGCACCAAAUUUGCUCAGGCCAAUCUACACCCCAUGGCCAUUAAAAGUUGUACAAAUCAUCUUGCUGCACCCCACGGUUUAGGUUCUAGGGGGCGCCAAAUAUAACCCUAAAAUCCACAUAUUUCAAAGUCUUAUAACUUUUUAUUUUUGUCCUCACUGGCCUCCAAGUUUUUUAGGAUGAUGCAAUGUCCAGCCAUCAACACAUUUAUGAAGAAAUUUUUACUCCCCAAAAGAGCGCCCCCCCAUGGCAGGAGAAAAAAGUCAAUUUUUUCUUGUCGCCUAAGGUGAAAAUACACAUUGUUGAGUGUCACGCCUGUACGCUUUGUCAUAUUGACACAAAAAUUGACAGUCAUGUGUAUCUCAAUUAGAUCUACGAAAAAGUCAAAGAGCGUGUAUCUGUAUAAUGUACGGUAAAAGGGCUAUUUUGAAUUUUUUGCCGAUUCGCACACAUUGGAAUUUCGCUAACUCCUCCUAAGGCUUUCGUCCCACUGACACCAAAUUUGCUCAGACCAAUCUACACUCCAUGGCCAUUCAAAGUUGUAAAAAUCAUGACGCUGCACCCCACGGUUUACGUUUUAGGGGGCGCCAAAGAUGACCCAAAUAUACAUUACAGUAGACAAAGUAGUUUUGCCCACUGAGUGGCGCCAAAGGGACUUGUCUGUGGAGUCUGUGAGUCACUAUUGGCCGUUUUUGACUACUUUAGAUUUUACCUUUAUAUUUCCUCUUACAAAAUUUUUACCUUGCCUUGCCUGGUAUCAUUUUUUUCAGCACAACCUCACCUGUGUCAAUUUACAGUUAUUUUAUCAUUUUGACAUACUAUAUUUACACAUUGGACCCAAAUUCACACACAAAACAUAAAAUCCGAGUGGAAAAAAGUAACGUUUUUACUGUGAAAACCACAAAUAUGUGUGAUGAACUGUUUUUAAAACUUAAACUUCAAAUAAAAAUUGUAAACUUCAAAACAUAUGCAAAUUUUUAACAAAGAACAUAGUAAUUUACCUCUAUUUACAUCAAAAUGCAGGCAAUGGCCCAGGUGUUCUUUGUAAAAUUAUUUACAAAACACUGUAUAGUCUCACAAAUGUCACUUUUUAUUUAUGCCACUACAAAAAAACAUGAUGUAAAUGAUGCAUGAUGUAAAACAUGAUGUAAAAAACUUGUGUAGAUCCUCCUCUAUGUCAGUCCAUGUGUAAUUUUUCCAUAAUUCUUUGUUUUUUGCAGCAUUUUUGUUAGUGUAACUGCAGAUUGUGCUGACAGUGUCUAUGGCAAAAAAAAAAAAAAAACUGAAAAUGCCUCAACAUGAACCCCUGGUGGUCUCUGAGGGUGAAACCUGCUAACUGCUGCAGCUCUGUCAGCUUCAGUCUCCCAUGCAGAGCUCGGAGCGCAUGUGUGGCUCUGCACCCUUAGCAGCAUUGCUAACUCCUCAGUAAGGAAAGCCUGCUUCAUGUCAGAGUCUCUAAACUCCAGAAGAAGUCGAUAAAAGUCACUUUCUUUCUAAAAAAACGUCGUUAGGGGGUCUGAAAAGUCAUUGAAUCUAACAACAAAGUCGCUAGGUUUGCAACUACGUGUCCCAGACUGCAUCCCUGCUGAGAGUCCCUCCCUCCCUUCUCAUAUUGCAGGAAGAACGUAAGCGCCCGCCCCUUGUCAAUCAGUCACCAUAUAAUUUUGGAUUGGUUGUUGUGGUGAAGUUUUCCACCAAUAGGAGAGAUGUUGUGGUGUGUUUUUUUUUUCCUUUGGCAAGCCUUUUCCGCCUGUAAGACCUGUCGCUAAUGUCUGCAUGCUAUGUUUUCCUGUCUCAUACAGCGCGAUCGAGCGCCGAACGUGAUCAAAAUAAGCAGAAAACAAGUAUCGCGGACAUAAUUUAUCAUAACUCUGGUUUUAUUUGGCCUAUCAACACAAUUUAAAAACUGGUAUAUAGGUUGAGGUCCUCACUUUUGAGAUAAGUUGAAACGGAGAGUCAACGAGGCUCCGUCUUGCAGCUACAUCCGGUUAAAUAUGUCAUGUGACUUGAACGCACACACACACACACACACACACACACACACACACAGACACACACACACACGCACACACACACACUCAGAGUCUGGUUUUUAGCACCUGCAAAAACAUGCUAUUUACAUAUUUGACAAGAAUGCAGAGGCUCCUUUUGCCCCUGAAAAAAAUCAAAUUUCAAACACAACUUGACUGGUCAUUUCUCCAAAAGACAACCAUGAAGCUCCAUCCAAACCUGAAGCAGGCAGUUGGUGCAUGUGUACAGUAACCUGAGGGGAGUGAGGUGACUGCUUCUGAGGAGAACAUGAGCAGUGAAGAUUCACCUUACAGCUAGAACAGAGACGUGCACAUGAUUAUACAGGGGCAGGGGCUCAAGUUUUUUCCAGUUGUUUAUACAAUAUGGAAAUUAAUGUGAAAUUAAAAAACAAAGUAUUAAUAGAAAGGUAAUGACUGUCCUGUGUAGGUGACAGUGAUAUCCAAUAGGCUAGGCACUCACGAGGCUGGCUGUGGCAAGUGUAAGUGAAAGCAACACGCACUGGAAGGAAGAACAGCAAACGCCGAUGAAGGAAAAGGGUCUUUGCAGUGAUGGGCGUUACCAGAGAGGGCGAUGGCCAGAGGACACAAAUGGGACGGGGAGGCAGCGCGUUGGGGGGGGGAUGCGACACAGCUCGGGCCCGCCAGUGCCCCAACGGGGUCCUAGUUAGGGCCCGAGCGUAGCUGCUAAGCAGCUGCGAGAGCCCUAUUAUUCCCCAAGUGGUUUUUCUUUGUUUCUUUCUUUCUUCUUUUUCCUCCCCUUUGAACUGGAAAAUGGCCCACUUCCCACUGGCGAAAACUCAUGAAAUUUGGCAGGAUGACCGGGCCUGGUGAAAAAUUUGAUAUUCCGAAGUCGCCCAAACAAGAAAAUGCAAAAUGGCUCCAUAGCGCCCCCUAAGGUGAAAAUUCACACUAUUGACUGUCACGCCUUUACGCUUUGUCAUAUUGACACAAAAAUUGACACACACAUGUAUCUCAAUAAGAUCUACAAAAAAGUCAGUGCGGGCGUAUCUGUCAAAUGUACGGUUAAAGGGUUAUUCCGCAUUUUUUGCCGAUCCGCACACAUUGGAAUUUCGCUAACUCCUCCGAAGGCUUUCGUUCCACCGGCACCACAUUUGCUCAGGCCAAUCUACACCCCAUGGCCAUUAAAAGUUAUUCAAAUCAUGACGCUGCACCCCACGGUUUAGGUUCUAGGGGGCGCCAAAGAUAACCCUAAAAUCCACAUAUUUAAAAGUCUUAUAACUUUUUAUUUUUGCCCUCACUGGCCUCCAAGUUUUCUAGGAUGAUGCAAUGUCCAGCCAUCAACACAUUUGUGAAGGAAUUUUUAAUCCCCAAAAGAGCGCCCCCCCAUGGCAGGAGAAAAAAGUCCAUUUUUUCUUGUCCCCUAAGGUGAAAAUACACAUUGUUGAGUGUCACGCCUGUACGCUUUGUCAUAUUGACACAAAAUUUGACACACACAUGUAUCUCAAUAAGAUCUACGAAAAAGUCAAUGCACGCGUAUCUGUAAAAUGUACGGUUAAAGGGCUAUUUUGCAUUUUUUGCCGAUUCGCACACAUUGGAAUGUGGCUAACUCCUCCUAAGGCUUUCGUCCCACUGACACCAAAUUUGCUCAGGCCAAUCUACACCCCAUGGCCAUUCAAAGUUGUAAAAAUCAUGACGCUGCACCCCACGGUUUACGUUCUAGGGGGCGCCAAAGAUGACCCAAAUAUCCACAUUCUUAAAAGAAUCCACAUCCCCCCCCCAUCCCCAAACCCCCAUGGCAGGAGAAACAGUCAAGUUUUUCCUGCCCAUCACUCAAUGGCUCAAUCGCAUCACUCUCCCGGCAACACCGUAACGAGGAGCAACUUGCCGUUUGGAUAUAUCCUAGCUGUGUUUGUGCCCUCACUCAUGGUCCAGACUUUUUUCAAAUAGGACAUGUAGUUUGUCUGCAGCGAGUGUUUUGGUAGAAACUGCGCCUCCCAUUCAUUAUAAUGGGAAAUGACCACAGACAAGUGCGCACACCAUCUUUGGACCUUGAGUGUGACGCGAUCAGGAGGGGGAGGCGGUCGCGCUGGGGGCGGCGCAACGCGGCUCGGGCCCGACAGUGCCCCACCGGGGCCCUAGUUAGGGCCCGAGCCAGCUGCAGAGCAGCCGGGCGUAGAGCCCUAUUAUUCCUGUAUAGGUUUUUCUUUCUUCUUUCUUUCUUUCUUUCUUCUUAUUUUUCCUCCCCUUUGAAGGGGAAAAUGGCCCACUUCCCACUGGCGAAAACUCAUGAAAUUUGGCAGGACGACCGGGCCUGGUGAAAAAUUCGAUAUUCUGAAGUCGCCCAAACAAUAAAAUGCAAAAUGGCUCCAUAGCGCCCCCUAAGGCGAAAAUUCACACUAUUGACUGUCACGCCUGUACGCUUUGUCAUAUUGACACAAAAAUUGACACACACGUGUAUCUCAAUACGGUCUACGAAAAAGUCAAUGGGCACGUAUCUGUAAAAUGUACGGUUAAAGGGUUAUUUCGCAUUUUUUCCCGAUCCGCACACAUUGGAAUUUCGCUAACUCCUCCGAAGGCUUUAGUUCCACCGCCACCAAAUUUGCUCAGGCCAAUCUACACCCCAUGGCCAUUAAAAGUUGUACAAAUCAUGACGCUGCACUCCACGGUUUAGGUUCUAGGGGGCGCCAAAGAUAACCCAAAAAUCCACAUUCUUAAUAGUCUUAUAACUUUUUAUUUUUGUCCUCACUGGCCUCCAAGUUUUCUAGGAUGAUGCAAUGUCCAGCCAUCAACACAUUUGUAAAGGAAUUUUUACUCCCGAAAAGAGCGCCCCCCCAUGGCAGGAGAAAAAAGUCCAUUUUUUCUUGUCCCCUAAGGGGAAAAAACACAUUGUUGAGUGUCACGCCUAUACGCUUUGUCAAAAUGACACAAAAUUUGAUACACACGUGUAUCUCAAUAAGAUCUACGAAAAAGUCAAUGGGCACGUAUCUGUAAAAUGUACGGUUAAAGGGCUAUUUCGCAUUUUUUGCCGAUUCGCACACAUUGGAAUGUGGCUAACUCCUCCUAAGGCUUUCUUUCCACCGACACCAAAUUUGCUCAAGCCGAUCUACAUCCCAUGGCCAUUCAAAGUUGUAAAAAUCAUGCCGCUGCACCCCAUGGUUUACGUUCUAGGGGGCGCCAAAGAUGACCCAAAUAUCCACAUUCUUAAAAGAAUCCACAUCCCCCCCCCCCCCCCAAGGCAGGAGAAAAAGUCCAGUUAACCCUGCCCAUCGCUCAAUGGCUCAAUCGCAUCGCUCUCCUGGCAACACCGUAAGGAGGAGCAACUUGCCAUUUGGAUAUAUCCUAGCUGUGUUUGUGCCCUCACUCAUGAUCCACACUUUUUUCAAAUAGGACAUGUAGUUUGUCUGCAGCGACCGUUUUGGUAGAAACUGCGCCUCCCAUUCAUUAUAAUGGGAAAUGACCACAGACAAGUGCGCACACCAUCUUUGGACCUUGAGUGUGAUGCGAUCAGGAGGGGGAGGCGGUCGCGCUGGGGGCGGCGCGACGCGGCUCGGGCCCGACAGUGCCCCACCGGGGCCCUAGUUAGGGCCCGAGCGUAGCUGCUAAGCAGCUGCGAGAGCCCUCUUGUUCCUGUAGUUUCCUUCUUUAGGGCCCGAGCGUAGCUGCUAAGCAGCUGCGAGAGCCCUCUUGUUCCUGUAGUUUCCUUCUUUUGUUAUUAUUAUUUUUCCUCCCCUUUGAACUGGAAAAUGGCCCACUUCCCACUGGCGAAAACUCAUGAAAUUUGGCAGGACGACCGGGCCUGGUGAAAAAUUUGAUAUUCCGAAGUCGCCCAAACAAGAAAAUGCAAAAUGGCUCCAUAGCGCCCCCUAAGGUGAAAAUUCACACUAUUCACUGUCACGCCUGUACGCUUUGUCAAAAUGACACAAAAAUUGACACACACAUGUAUCUCAAUAAGAUCUACAAAAAAGUCAAUGCGGGCGUAUCUGUCAAAUGUACGGUUAAAGGGUUAUUUUGCAUUUUUUGCCGAUCCGCACACAUUGGAAUUUCGCUAACUCCUCCGAAGGCUUUCGUUCCACCGGCACCACAUUUGCUCAGGCCAAUCUACACCCCAUGGCCAUUAAAAGUUAUUCAAAUCAUGACGCUGCACCCCACGGUUUAGGUUCUAGGGGGCGCCAAAGAUAACCCUAAGAUCCACAUAUUUAAAAGUCUUAUAACUUUUUAUUUUUGCCCUCACUGGCCUCCAAGUUUUCUAGGAUGAUGCAAUGUCCAGCCAUCAACACAUUUGUGAAGGAAUUUUUACUCCCCAAAAGAGCGCCCCCCCAUGGCAGGAGAAAAAAGUCCAUUUUUUCUUGUCCCCUAAGGUGAAAAUACACAUUGUUGAGUGUAACACCUGUACGCUUUGGCAAAAUGACACAAAAAUUGACACACACAUGUAUCUCAAUAAGAUCUACGAAAAAGUCAAUGCGCGCGUAUCUGUCAAAUGUACGGUUAAAGGGUUAUUCCGCAUUUUUUGCCGAUCCGCACACAUUGGAAUUUCGCUAACUCCUCCGAAGGCUUUCGUUCCACCGGCACCACAUUUGCUCAGGCCAAUCUACACCCCAUGGCCAUUAAAAGUUAUUCAAAUCAUGAUGCUGCACCCCAUGGUUUAGGUUCUAGGGGGCGCCAAAAAUAACCCAAAAAUCCACAUUCUUAAAUGUUUUAUAACUUUUUAUUUUUGUCCUCACUGGCCUCCAAGUUUUCUAGGAUGAUGCAAUGUCCAGCCAUCAACACAUUUGUGAAGGAAUUUUUACACCCCAAAAGAGCGCCCCCCCAUGGUAGGAGAAAAAAGUCAAUUUUUUCUUGUCCCCUUACAUAAAAAUACACAUUGUUGAGUGUCACGCCUGAACGCUUUGUCAAAAUGACACAAAAAUUGACAAUCAUGUGUAUCUCAAUUAGAUCUACGAAAAAGUCAAAGAGCGCGUAUCUGUAUAAUGUACGGUUAAAGGGCUAUUUUGCAUUUUUUGCCGAUUCGCACACAUUGGAAUGUGGCUAUCUCCUCCUAAGGCUUUCGUCCCACCGAUACCAAAUUUGCUCAGGGCAAUCUACACCCCAUGCCCAUUCAAAGUUGUAAAAAUCAUGACGCUGCACCCCACGGUUUACGUUCUAGGGGGCGCCAAAGAUGACCCAAAAAUCCACAUUCUUAAAAGUCAUUUUGGCCACUGCAGGAGUACAGAGUACUGCAGUUCUAGGGGGCGCCAAAGAUGACCCAAAAAUCCACAUUCUUAAAAGUCUUUUUGGCCACUGCAGGAGUACAGAGUACUGCAGGAUACACACACAUAUACACACACGCCAACAUACACACACACACACACACACACACACACACACACACACACACACAGACACACACACACACUCAGAGUCUGUUUUUUAGCACCUGCAAAAACAUGCUGUUUACAUAUUUGACAAGAAUGCAGAGGCUUCCUUUUGCCCCUGAAAAAAAAUCAAAUUUCAAACACAACUUGACUGGUCAUUUCUCCAAAAGACAACCAUGAAGCUCCAUCCAAACCUGAAGCAGGCAGUUGGUGCAUGUGUACAGUAACCUGAGGGGAGUGAGGUGAGUGCUUCUGAGGAGAACAUGAGCAGUGAAGAUUCACCUUGGAGCUAGAACAGAGACAUGCACAUGAUUAUACAGGGGCAGGGGCUCAAGUUUUUUCCAGUCGUUUAUACAAUAUGGAAAUUAAUGUGAAAUUAAAACACAAAGUAUUAAUAGAAAGGUAAUGACUGUCCUGUGUAGGUGACAGUGAUAUCGAAUAGGCUAGGCACUCACGAGGCUGGCUGUGGCAAGUGUAAGUGAAAGCAACACGCACUGGCAGGAAGAACAGCAAACGCCGAUGAAGGAAAAGGGUCUUUGCAGUGAUGGGCGUUACCAGAGAGGGCGAUGGCCAGAGGACACAAAUGGGACGGGGAGGCAGCACGUUGGGGGGGGGACGCGACACGGCUCGGGCCCGCCAGUGCCCCAACGGGGUCCUAGUUAGGGCCCGAGCGUAGCUGCUAAGCAGCUGCGAGAGCCCUCUUGUUCCUGAUGGAUUCUUCUUUCGUUAUUUUUCCUCCGCUUUAAACUGGAAAAUGGCCCACUUCCCACUGGCGAAAACUCAGGAAAUUUGGCAGGACGACCGGGCCUGGUGAAAAAUUUGAUAUUCUGAAGUCGCCCAAACAAAAAAAUGAAAAAUGGCUCCAUAGCGCCCCCUAUGGUGAAAACUCACCUGACGCCUGUACGCUUUGUCAAAAUGACACAAAAUUUGACACACAUGUGUAUCUCAAUAAGAUCUACAAAAAAGUCAGUGCGGGCGUAUCUGUCAAAUGUACGGUUAAAGGGCUAUUUCGCAUUUUUUGCCGAUCCGCACACAUUGGAAUUUCGCUAACUCCUCCGAAGGCUUUCGUUCCACCGGCACCAAAUUUGCUCAGGCCAAUCUACACCCCAUGGCCAUUAAAAGUUGUACAAAUCAUGACGCUGCACCCCACGGUUUAUGUUCUAGGGGGCGCCAAAGAUAACCCAAAAAUCCACAUUCUUAAAAGUCUUAUAACUUUUUAUUUUUGUCCUCACUGGCCUCCAAGUUUUCUAGGAUGAUGCUAUGUCCAGCCAUCAACACAUGUGUGAAGGAAUUUUUACUCCCCAAAAGAGCGCCCCCCCAUGGCAGGAGAAAAAAGUCUAGUUUUUCUUGUCCCCUAACAUGAAAAUACACAUUGUUGAGUGUCACGCCUAAACGCUUUGUCAUAUUGACACAAAAAUUGACACACACGUGUAUCUCAAUAAGAUCUACGAAAAAGUCAAAGAGCGCGUAACUGUAUAAUGUACGGUAAAAGGGCUAUUUUGCAUUUUUUGCCGAUUCGCACACAUUGGAAUUUCGCUAACUCCUCCGAAGGCUUUCGUCCCACUGACACCAAAUUUGCUCAGGCCAAUCUACACCCCAUGGCCAUUCAAAGUUGUAAAAAUCAUGACGCUGCACCCCACGGUUUAUGUUCUAGGGGGCGCCAAAGAUAACCCAAAAAUCCACAUUCUUACAAGUCUUAUAACUUUUUAUUUUUGUCCUGACUGGCCUCCAAGUUCUCUAGGAUGAUGCAAUGUCCAGCCAUCAACACAUUUGUGAAGGAAUUUUUACUCCCCAAAAGAGCGCCCCCCCAUGGCAGGAGAAAAAAGUCCAUUUUUUCUUGUCCCCCAAGGCGAAAAUACACAUUGUUGAAUGUCACGCCUGUACGCUUUGUCAUAUUGACACAAAAUUUGACAAUCACGUGCAUCUCAAUAAGAUCUACAAAAAAGUCAGUGCGCGCCUAUCUGUAAAAUGUACGGUUAAAGGGCUUUUUCGCAUUUUUUGCAGAUUCGCACACAUUGGAAUGUGGCUUAGUCCUCCUAAGGCUUUCGUCCCACUGACACCAAAUUUGCUCAGGCCAAUCUACACCCCAUGGCCAUUCAAAGUUGUAAAAAUCAUGACGCUGCACCCCACGGUCUACGUUCUAGGGGGCGCCAAAGAGGACCCAAAUAUCCACAUUUUUAAAAGUCUUAUAACUUUUUAUUUUUGUGCUCACUGGCCUCCAAGUUUUCUAGGAUGAUGCGCCAUCAACACAUUUGUAAAGGAAUUUUUACUCCCCAAAAGAGCGCCCCCCCAUGGCAGGAGAAAAAAGUCCAUUUUUUCUUGUCCCCCAAGGCGAAAAUACACAUUGUUGAAUGUCACGCCUGUACGCUUUGUCAUAUUGACACAAAAUUUGACAAUCACGUGCAUCUCAAUAAGAUCUACGAAAAAGUCAAUGCGCGCGUAUCUGUAAAAUGUACGGUUAAAGGGCUUUUUCGCAUUUUUUGCAGAUUCGCACACAUUGGAAUGUGGCUUAGUCCUCCUAAGGCUUUCGUCCCACUGACACCAAAUUUGCUCAGGCCAAUCUACACCCCAUGGCCAUUCAAAGUUGUAAAAAUCAUGACGCUGCACCCCACGGUCUACGUUCUAGGGGGCGCCAAAGAGGACCCAAACAUCCACAUUUUUAAAAGUCUUAUAACUUUUUAUUUUUGUGCUCACUGGCCUCAAAGUUUUCUAGGAUGAUGCAAUGUCCAGCCAUCAACACAUUUGUGAAGGAAUUUUUACUCCCCAAAAGAGCGCCCCCCCAUGGCAGGAGAAAAAGUCAAGUUUUUGCCCAUCGCUCAAUGGCUCAAACGCAUCGCUCUCUCGGCAAAACCGAAAGGAGGAGCAACUUGCCAUUUGGAUAUAUACUAGCUGUGUUUGUGCCCUCACUCAUGGUCCAGACUUUUUUCAAAAAGGACAUGGAGUUUGUCUGCAGCGAGCGUUUUGGUAGAAACUGCGCCUCCCAUUCAUUAUAAUGGUAAAUGACCACAGACAAGUGCGCACACCAUCUUUGGACCUUGAGUGUGACGCGAUCGGGAGGGGUAGGCGGUCGCACUGGGGGCGGCGCGACACGGCUCGGGCCCGCCAGUGCCCCACCGGGGCCCUAGUUUGUUAUUAUUAUUAGGGCCCGAGCGUAGCUGCUAAGCAGCUGCGAGAGCCCUAUUAUUCCCCAAGGGGUUUUUCUUUGUUUCUUUUUUCUUUUUCCUCCCCUUUGAACUGGAAAAUGGCCCACUUCCCACUGGCGAAAACUCAUGAAAUUUGGCAGGAUGACCGGGCCUGGUGAAAAAUUUGAUAUUCCGAAGUCGCCCAAACAAGAAAAUGCAAAAUGGCUCCAUAGCGCCCCCUAAGGUGAAAAUUCACACUAUUGACUGUCACGCCUGUACGCUUUGUCAAAAUGACACAAAAUUUGA